CGGACAUCAAUUUUUUUUAUGUAGUUUUAAUUUUUAUAAUGUUUUGUACAAAUAUAUGAUAAUAAUUUGUUAGAUUUUGAAACUUUUUUCAACUAACGAAACUUGUUUACAUUGCGAAAUCAAUGUAAUUUGAUACCUCAGUCAUACGAUGUCUAUGAAUUACUACCGACCAUCCCCUGGUGAUAGUUUUUCGACGUAUUUCAAUAUAUUGCCUUUAUUUUAUAAGAAUCUUUUCAAAUAUUCAAAAUUUUUAAUUUAUAAUUCUAAUUAUUCAAAAUUUUGUAUUAGUUUAGGUUUAUUUAUUGUUUAUAUGAAAAUUUAUUUGUUUUUUUAUAUAAUUUAUCUGCGUUUGUAGUUUUGCCCUCUGUCUGCAGGAUCUCAUACUAAUUUUCGACUAAUACUGCAAUUUUUCGUCGAAUUUUUAUGCGUUUAGCCGGGAAUCUGUUAUUAAUUCCUUUUAAAAAUGGCGGAACAACGAAUUAUUAUUCGUUAUUUAUCUAAUAUAAAUGGAAUUUUUAAUUAUUUCGUUUUAUUUUAUAAAGAAAAUACUUCAUACUAUAGCUGUACCCUAUUUUCCAAAAUGGG
rnacentral:lncRNA from 1 species